rnacentral:rRNA from 1 species
ACUGAGAAGAUAGUGGCGAACGGGUGAGUAACACGUGGGUAACCCUGCCCAUAAGAGGGGGAUAACAUCCGGAAACGGGUGCUAAUACCGCAUAGUUUUCUUGAUCGCAUGAUUGAGAAAGGAAAGACGGCCUUUGUGCUGUCGCUUAUGGAUGGACCCGCGGCGUAUUAGUUAGUUGGUGAGGUAACGGCUCACCAAGACGAUGAUACGUAGCCGACCUGAGAGGGUGAUCGGCCACAUUGGGACUGAGACACGGCCCAAACUCCUACGGGAGGCAGCAGUAGGGAAUCUUCCGCAAUGGACGAAAGUCUGACGGAGCAACGCCGCGUGAGUGAAGAAAAGGUUUUCGGAUCGUAAAACUCUGUUGUCAGAGAAGAACAAGUUGGAGAGUAACUGCUCCAGCCUUGACGGUAUCUGACCAGAAAGCCACGGCUAACUACGUGCCAGCAGCGGC